CCGCCGCCAAAGAGUCCGAUUUAUAUCGAUCUUCUCGAUGAUACGGACGACGAUGCCGGAGAUAACGCAGCCAACACAGAUAAGACACCGAAUGGAAAUGGCAGCACGACUACGAGCAAUG
rnacentral:ribozyme from 1 species